rnacentral:tRNA from 1 species
GCGUCUUUGCCCGAGUGGUUAAGGGGGCAGAUUCAAGCUUAUUGAAAGUUUUCUCGAUAAUGAGAUCCCUGCUGCGAAAGCGCAAGAGUUCGAAUCUCUUAGGACGCA